CCGGGGGACGAGGCUUCCCGCCUCCGACUGCCAGCCGCAAGUGUUCUUCCGCGCCGCCUGCCCGGAGGUGUCAUGGUCAUUGUUACUUGGAGGCAUUGACUAGGCACUUAUUUCCAGCACAGUACAGGCACCCAGGGGCCACGCCGCAUUCAAGGAACAGCGUAAAGGUAUGUGUGUCAACCGGCAGCAGAGGAAGGAAGCACCUUUUUGGAGUCCAAGGUGAUGAAGCAGAGUCUGUUUGAUUUUCAUUAUGAGCGGACCCCUCGUCAUGGGGGGCGGGGCUUGGACAUGUAAACAUGGCCCUGGAUGGGGGAACUGUCUGUUAAGUUCAAGGCUGUGAGGCCUAUCAUAGACACCACCGGACAAGCAUUAGAACCUGGUGCCCAGAUCGGACCAACCUGGCAGAACUAUCCUGCCAUCUGAAGUAAUGCAUAGUUCUGUACCGAGUUUUUAAUAGCUUGGUCACCUUCAGCUUUUCCUCAUCGAGCUUGUAUUUUGGCAAGAGGUGGCUCUCAACAAGCAUUUGGGUCUGAGGGGUCUCCAUUAGAUUUUUGGUGCCAGUCUCCAUUGGAUUUCGUGACCAUCGAGUCAUAUUCAGCAUCUGUCUGCAGUCAGGUCUCCUGUAACUCCUAUGCAGUUGUGGCUUAAGACUUUUUAGCACAGUGUUAUCCAAUAAUAGCGUUCUGUAUGUGAGAGGCUUCUGGCAGCCCAGCCUUUUGUCCCAUUUAUGUUGGCACUCUCGUUCCAGAAUGCAGUCUACCAAGCGGUUCUCCUUGCUGCAGUUCAUGGAGUCAUUUAGGAGUUAUCUAUCCAUAAAGGAAAAGUCUGUCAUUACACCAGCCACAGAUGCUAGCUACCCAUACCUGUUUUGGCAUUUGCAGGCCUGAGUGUUUCAGCUCUGUCUGUCACCCCGCCCGUGAUAUUUGAGUCAUCUGGCGGUAACUCUCAUUUUUGUGUGUUGGUGAGUGGUUUGACUUAUUCUUGCAGUUUAAGUAAUAGGUCUAGGCUAAGCAAGAUGGAUGAGCAAGGUGCGACAGCAAAGGUGAGCAGAUGGUGCCAAGGGGGGUGAGGUCGACAGCUUGGGUUUUGUGCUUUUGGGGUCUCUCUGUGUUGCCUGAGUAUGUAAGUCGGUCAGUGGGAUUUGUUAGUCUGUUUUGCUUGGCAGGCUCUCUAUGUCAGAAACCUGUGUGCCUCUGCAUUUUCCCAAGGUGAGCCUGGCAUCAAAGGUUCUGGUUUCUGGGACAUUGGAGAUGGACUGACGAUAUGAGCAGGUGCCUGACAUGAAGACUGACCCCAGAGGCAUGGCAUGGGAGGUGGGCAGAAAGGGUGCCACGGGUGAUGCCAGCUGCAACAUCUGGUGUUAGACUGGGAGUGGAGCAGGUGAGCAGAAUGCCACUGCGCUUCCAAAGAGGCCAUCGUUGCAUAAGAGGUCAGCGUUGACUGGUGUGAAACUCGCUGAUGGCACUCCAUUUGCAGGUCUUAGAGACAGGCUUCUGGUGCAUCCAUCAUCCCAGUUGGGGCCAUAACUUUUCGUCAUGGACCAAGGCAUUUGACUUUUCCAAGGCCAUUGUAGAUUCUUCCUCAGGGCCCUUGUGCCGCACAGAGCUGUGGAGGGGCGAAGCUGCAUGCUGACAAGCAGUCCGAGAAGAUGCUGUGCAGGCUAUCUUCAGAAUUGGAUGGGCAUUUGAGUACCACAAGUGAUGAUGGCUGUACCGUCUGACUCUGGAAUUGGUGCGGAGCAGGUGAGCAGAAUGCCAUGGUGCUUUUGAGGGGGAGGGUGUUGUGGAAGAGGUUGGUGUUGGCUGAUGUGAUGGUAACUGCUGGCACUGGUGU